rnacentral:rRNA from 1 species
UACGUAGGGGGCGAGCGUUGUCCGGAUUCAUUGGGCGUAAAGCGCGCGUAGGCGGCCCCGCAAGUCGGCUGUGAAAUCUCCGGGCUCAACUCGGAGGGGUCGGGCGAGACUGCGCGGCUCGAGGUGGGCAGAGGGCAGUGGAAUUCCGGGUGUAGUGGUGGAAUGCGUAGAGAUCCGGAGGAACACCAGUGGCGAAGGCGGCUGCCUGGGCCUGGCCUGACGCUGAGGCGCGAAAGCUAGGGGAGCAAACAGG